GAAGUCCUAGGAUAAUAAUAGGCAUAAUUAACUACCAGAUCAUGACAACUAUGCUUUAAAAUGGACAAUAUAAAGUUAUUUAACAUAACAUAUAAUAUCAGAAUUUCAAAAAGUUGUAAACUUUUUUUUUCUAAUUUUAAAUUGAUUGGUGUAUUAUUGUAGUCAACAUAAUGUAAAACGUUUUGGUAAAAAUCCGAAGUUAAAAAUAUGAUUGUUCAUCGAGGUAAUGAGAGUUGAUGAAUAGCCGCGUGACAUAGAGUUGACGAUUGAACAGCCGCCUAUGUUUUACGUGUAAAAGUAGUUUGAUUUACACA